UUUGCUCUACAGAUGUUUGCUGGUCACCCCACAGACAGGCCUGGCUCCAGUAUCCCUGUGUGUGGCUCCAGCUCCACACUAUACUGGGACAGGAUAGAACCAGCAGCAUGGUUCCUGCUGCUGGAGGAGGGGCUCUGCAACCUGUGCUGAAUAUUCAGACGGGCCACCUGAGUUACCCCUGCCUACGUUUGAGUGGUUCUAUUUAUAAACCCCCAAGGAUGGCUGACGAAAAUGGUGAAAAAGAAACAAAAAUCUCCAAGUUUAAA